rnacentral:lncRNA from 1 species
CCAGGCUAGGUGUUGAAUCAGAGCUGCAGCGCAGCUGCCAGCCUACCCCACAGCCACAGCAACACAGGAUCCAAGCCACAUCUGCCACCUACACCACAGCUCGUGGCAAUGCCGGGUCCUUAAUCUGCUCAGCAAAGCUAGGGAGCGAACCUGCAUCCUCAUGGUUCCUAGUCAGAUUCUUUUCUGCUGAGCCACAAUGGGAACUCCCCAUCAGGAGGUUCUCUUAACCAGGUGACACACCUUUCACAUUUCUAAGUCCAAGGAAUCUGGGUGGAGACGCCCCUGAUCUCCAUUAUAAAACAACAGCCAUCAGUCAGUAGGCAAGUAGGCAAGAGUGUGUGGGUGUUCCCAGUUUUUAGGGUUUUGACCUGCUUGCUUCACUGUAUAUAAGGCCAAACUGCUUACAGCCCAGGUGACAUGUAGAGGAAAUGGGGGCAAAUAGAAGAGUACAGAAACAAGGCCAGUUCAUUCAGAAACACCUUAAAAAAUACGGACUUGAUCGGAAAGGUUAUGGAGAAGCCACCAGGGGGUUUGAACAAAGAGUGACGGAGUCUGAUUUGCUUCCUGGAGCUAUCAUGCUGGCAACAAGGUGGCAAGUGGUGUGAAGGAGACAGAGUUCGAUGAGGAGGUUGUCAGAUCAAUCAAGGAAAAGGGGAUAAAAGGCAUGCGCCAAGGAUGCAGCAGUGGGGGAUGAGUGCAAUGGGCAGCAAUGUGGGCUUAGAGAGGAGGUACCACGGUUCUGAAAAUCAGGCCAGGAUAAGAAGAAAGAUGGUGACACUGGAGGCUGAGGGAGGGAACCAAAGGGUCAGAGGAGCAGAGGGUGUGGGGGAAGGAGGGGAAUAGUGAGCUCUGCUUUGCACACGUUCUGUUUUGGAUGCUAAGGUACAUCCAAAAGGACUUCCAGUUUGCAGUUUCAUUUCCCCAGACAUUCAACAGUCCACUAGACUACAAAGGCCUGCAAAGGGUGACUGCCUGGAUCACUACAUUACCUAGCUCACCAUCAAAAAGCUCCCCCUAGUCUCUGGAAACAGCCAAGCCAUGUUGCACAGCUGAUCUACUGCUAUGAAGCAUUAUUAAAGAACCUAAUUAAUUCAAACCCCCCCUCCCACCCCACCUCCCAAAGAAAAGAGAACAAGAAAAGCAGAGGGGUAGAAAUUGCCUAAUAACGUUUCCAGCUUUCUUGCAAUUUCAUGCCCAAUCCAUUCAGGUCAGAAAGUAGAGCAGAUAACAUCCUGGUCAAAUAUUCAGUAUUAUUACAAGGUUCUUAUCAAUCUACUCAGCAGUUAACUUUUUUUUUUAGGCUGCAACUAAGGCAUGCAGUAAUUCCCAAGCCAGAGACCAAACCCACGCCACAUAAGUGACCCUAACCUGAGCCACAGCAGUGACAACACCAAGUCCCCUAACCAGGGAAGUCCUAGUUACUUUAAAAUCAGAUCAUAAUGGAAUUAUAUCUGGCUAGGACAAGAGGAAAGGAGGACUGGCUCAUCUUUUGUACAGGGCAAAAAAUCUACCCAGGUAACACUUUUUGAAAGCUAAUGAAACAAAGGAAGCUCACAAAGCCUUCCUACAAAGCACCUGACCUGGAUGCACCUAUUUCACAGCCCUCCCCACGUCUUUUCAGAUGGGAUUCCCUUGCCAGCUUUGUUGAGGUUUCUUAUCAGGCAACUUGCUCCCUUCCCCUUGCUGCUGCUGCUCACAAAUGGACAGAAGCUCCAUCUGGGGAUUCUGAAUGCUGAGGUUCACAGAAGUCAAUGUAACUCGGGUGUUAAGGACGUCAUCUAGGUGAUUCUGUGUGCUCUCAUCUAUCGAAAAGAUAACCCCUUCAUCAGCUUCCAUGAGAAUUUCAACCAUUACUGGCCAAUCAUGAUUGUUCACAUUCAUGAAGAUCUGUGGGGCCAUAAGGAACAGUCCCCACUGGACAGUCUCCUUCCCCAUCUCUGUGCGUCCAGCUUGCCCACCUCUGGUCCCUCAGGUCCCUCUUCAUCUACAGAGGGACUUUAUCUUUGGUUUGAAACCUGGAUACCCCAAAGGCUUCCUUCUCUCCUACAAAGAGAGCAUGGGACAAGUUUCUCAUCGAAUGAACGCCACUACACGACUAAAAGUUAUUCCAGCUGCUAAAAAGCUACCAUUCUCUCUAAAUCAUUUCCUUUCUAUUUUUUUCAUUCCCUCCCAGAGAGGAUUUGAAGCAGCUUACAGCAAAGGGCAGCUACACCAGGAAGAAAAUCAGUUCCAAAGAGGAACAAAGGCAGUAUACUAACCUUCUAAUGACCAGUAACUGUUGUGACUCAACAGGAACCUUAGCCAGGGGCUUCCAAGGAGUCACAACAAAAGUGAAAGCACCGUUAUGGAACAGCUGCCUAUUUCUCCAUAUCAGAAAUACCCCAGAGGAGAAAGCUUCAGAGCAGCUUUCAAAGCAGCUACUUGGGAAGGCCAAGUCACUGGCUAAGAACUCCCACUUCGUCUGCUAUAAUGUCCAUGUGACUUCAUACUGUCUUUAUUUCCUUAAUGAAUCAAGAAUAGACAUUGGACUAGGAAUUCAGAGUUCCUCGUGUGGUGCCCAGCUCUAUCAUAAGUAGCCAGAGGUUUCCAGUCAAACAGGAGACAGGAACAAGUAUGGCCUUUCCAGUUCCAAUGGAACAUGGUUUUUAAGAUGAUUAUCAUUGGCUUUGAAGAGUUUAGGAGUAUCGCACAUGGUAAAACUUUUUAUGUGGAGCAAAUAGAACUAAAUGUGCCUUCUGAGUGAACUCUACAGUUUAUAUUUUUGGAAAAUUCACAUGACAGUCUAUGGCUCUGUGUAAUACUAAGUCUUUGAUUGGGGCAUUCUAUCAUUAUUUCUCAGAAGUAAAAGAAACACGUGCUUAGAAAAUCACUUGUGGGGAGUCUCGUCAUGGUGCACUGGAAACAGAGCUGACUAGGAACCAUGAGGUUGCGGGUUUGAUCCCUGGUCUUGCUCAGUGGGUUAAGGAUUUGGCAUUGCCACGAGCUGUGGUGUAGGUUGCAGACGAAGCUCAGCUCUGGCAUUGAUGUGGCUGUGGUGUAGGCCAGCAGCUGUAACUCACGCUAGCUCGGACCCUAGCCUCCUGGGAACGUCCAUAUGCCUUGGGUGUGGCCCUAAAACAAACAAAAAACAACAAAAAAGCAAAUCACUUGUGAAACACUUACUAGCCUCAUUUGAUUGAUCCUACUUGGGCUUUUAGAGUUUAUCUACCUCAACUGCCAUCCUUCUACAUGCGAUGUAAAAGUUAAAAAUAAUUAUUUUGGAACCACUUACACAGAGAUGAACACAAAUAGUACAUACAUACCAAUAUAUCAUCUUGAUUUUGGUCCAUAUUUAAUGACCUUGUUCAGCCCUCCCCAUGCAAACACAAUUAGGUAUAACAACCUUAAUUUAAACCCAUUGUCAAAAGAAAACAUCCCUAAUGAAACACAACUUCAAAUUAGAGUUAAAUCUGUCUCCUAGACCAAAAUAUACAAAAGGUUCUUGCUUAUAUUUUUAAACUUCUUGUGACUUGUUUAAAGAUUCAAGGUUUUCACUGAAAUGACGCAUAGAU